rnacentral:rRNA from 1 species
CCCUUAGAUGUUCUGGGCCGCACGCGCGCUACACUGAUGCAUUCAACGAGCCUAUCCUUGACCGACAGGUCCGGGUAAUCUUUGAAUCUGCAUCGUGACGGGGAUAGAUUAUUGCAAUUAUUAAUCUUCAACGAGGAAUGCCUAGUAGGCGCAAGUCAUCAGCUUGCGUCGAUUACGUCCCUGCCCUUUGUACACACCGCCCGUCGCUCCUACCGAUUGGGUGUGCUGGUGAAAUGUUCGGAUCGGCCGUUUGUCGCGGUUUCCGCGUCAUGAGGCUGAGAAGUUCAUUAAACCCUCCCACCUAGAGGAAGGAGAAGUCGUAACA